rnacentral:rRNA from 1 species
ACGGGGCGCAGCAGGCGCGAAACCUUUACACUGUACGCAAGUGCGAUAAGGGGACUCCGAGUGUGAAGGCAUAGAGCCUUCACUUUUGUACACCGUAAGGUGGUGUACGAAUAAGGGCUGGGCAAGACCGGUGCCAGCCGCCGCGGUAAUACCGGCAGCCCGAGUGAUGGCCGAUAUUAUUGGGCCUAAAGCGUCCGUAGCUGGCCGGACAAGUCCGUUGGGAAAUCUGUUCGCUUAACGAGCAGGCGUCCAGCGGAAACUGUUCGGCUUGGGACCGGAAGACCUGAGGGGUACGUCCGGGGUAGGAGUGAAAUCCUGUAAUCCUGGACGGACCACCGGUGGCGAAAGCGCCUCAGGAGGACGGAUCCGACAGUGAGGGACGAAAGCUAGGGUCUCGAACCGGAUUAGAUACCCGCGUAGUCC